GCUAUCUAUCUAUCUAUCCCAAAACGCAGCUUCAGUUUCGGAACCACACCAAGACGGCAAGACUUGCGAGGACAGCAUGACUUCCUUGUCGAUGCCGGAGCAGGUACACGGACACUCUCCCCAGGAGACGGUGGCAAUGGCCUCCGACGAGCCACAGUCGCAGCUGACUGGCCUAGGCGAUCCAAAAGCCAGCCGAUCUGAUGCGGCGACCAUGGUGACGACCGGCGGUGCUGGCGACGGGGAGGAGGUGAUGGGGGCGGAGAGCCCCCUCGACUUCGUCCUCGUCGGCACGCCUUGGGGGCUGCUCCUCGCUCCCACACCGCUGGCGAGCAUGAAGCAGGACGAGGAGGAGGUGAGUGCUCCUCCCUGUCCAGAGAAGACACCUGCUGCAGCGAAUGGGGCGAAGCAGUGCGUGCAGUGCGGCGCGACCGAGACGCCACAGUGGAGGAUCCAGCCGACGGGGCAGGGCGCGCUCUGCAACGCCUGCAGGAUCCGGCUCAGGCCGGCCGAGGCGCUGCGGGAGAAGGUGCACGUGCACGCGCACCGCCCAUCGGCGCCGGCGCUAGGGCCGGCGACGUCGACGGCCAUCUCCGAGCCUCCAGCGGACGGCUGGAUCUCGGGGGCCUGGAUGGAUUUCGACGCGCACCUGCUGAAGGUGACGCCUCCCCCUCCCGCCAGGCGGCAGGAGUCUCCGUCCCCGACGACGGAACCAGCGCCGGAGAAGAAGACACGGAAGAGGAAGCCGUCGACGCGGCGGUGCCAGGCUGCCAGCACUGCUGCAAGUCGUCCGCGUCGACACUGACUGCAGUGGGGGACGGGGCCGAUAGGCCCCAGCACGCUGUGCAACGCGUGCGGCGUGCGCUACAGGCAGGUUCGAGUUCGACUCCUGCAGGAAUACCGCCCGGCGGCGAGCCCUAACUUCAAGCAUGUCUGGCUCUGAGCACGCCUGCAAGCGCCGCGAGGCGAUCCAGCUUCGCCAGAGGAAGCACAGGGGAAAAGAGCAGCACCAGGCUCCGGAACCGGGCGCAGGUGAUGGCAUGGAGCAGCGCGCCAGCACCUGCCUCCGCCACCGCCACCGCCGCCAGCGCAGGCUGGUGAUGAGCUGCCGAUGGGCGAGCCGAUCUCGCUGGACAAGCUGCUGCUCGACGCCAUCGACGACGGGUCGCCGGAGACGAACUUCGUGUACAGUGUUAGUGAUGAUGAUGAGUUGAUGACCUGCUGAUGGGGGAUCCAACAAUAAUCUCGCUGGACGAGUUUCAGUUCGACGGGCCGGCGCCGCCGCCGCCGCUUAUCGACGACGACGACUUCGUCGACUAGACCUAGCUAGCUAGCCUCGCGAUAAACUGAGCCAAUUAUGCAAGUCGUUGUGUGAUGGUACGCAGUAUAACAUGAGUGUUUGUCUGAGAAAUUCUGCACUGCAGAUCUCAGGGUUUGAUUUCAUGACC
rnacentral:misc_RNA from 1 species